CGCAGGGCGGAGCGCCGGGCUGGGGAUGAGCUAAGCGGGCUCCGAGCGCCGCGGCAUUCAGCCCCUCGUGUCCCGCCGCCGCUCGUGAGGGGACCGGGCACCGCUCUCCAAGCUCGACCCGCUGCUCGCGCGGGAGCCAGCCGUGAGCACAGUAUUUCUCAAACUCUGAGGCUUGCAGAAUUCACAAAUUGAGAUCUGGCAUCAUUUUCAGAGGGAGACCUUCAGUUAUGUGGUUAGCCUAGGUAGCAAAUGCUUAUUAACUACUUUGACUUAAUGAAGUGAUAGAAGAAGUAAAAAAGAAUCUGAAUUGAUUGGGCGGAGAUCAAAAGGGAGGAAAAGAAAUCAGUCUUCGUUAGUUGCUGAGUUGGACAGUCAUCUGGGUAAAACUGCUUGUUUUUUGCGGAGCACCUAUCAUAUGCAGUCAGCUGAGAGCGACUAUUCAACAUUUCACGGAGUCUUCUCAGGAGGACAGGUUAGUACUUUUUCUUUACUGUCAGUCUAGUAGACAUUUCUGAAAAGUUUAAGCCCUUUAUUUUGUGCAGAAAUCUUAUGUGUAAGGGAAUUGCUGCAUAGGAGUCAUAUAUAUCUAAAUAAAACAAGUAGGGACAUUUGAUUCUUCUUUAGG
rnacentral:lncRNA from 1 species